AUUGAACGCUGGCGGCAGGCCUAACACAUGCAAGUCGAGCGAUCGGCGGACGGGUGAGUAAUAUCUGGGAAACUGCCUGAUGGAGGGGGAUAACUACUGGAAACGGUAGCUAAUACCGCAUACCAUCAGAUGUGCCCAGAUGGGAUUAGCUCGUAGGUGGGGUAAUGGCUCACCUAGGCGACGAUCCCUCGCUGUCUGAGAGGAUGACCAGCCACACUGGAACUGAGACACGGUCCAGAUUCCUACGGGAGGCAGCAGUGGGGAAUAUUGCACAAUGGGCGCAAGCCUGAUGCAGCCAUGCCGCGUGUGUGAAGAAGGCCUUCGGUUUGUAAAGCACUUUCAGCAGGGAGGCGUUACCCGCAGAGGAAGCACCGGCUACCUCCGUGGCAGCAGCCGCGGUAAUAC
rnacentral:rRNA from 1 species